AAGCAACUCAGCCUGCUGAGUUCCAGCGUUGCAUGGUACCCUUGUUUCGCCAGAUUGGACGUUGCUUAAGCAGUUCACAUUUUCAGGUAGCUGAAAGGACUCUGUUUUUGUGGAACAAUAAUCACAUCGAGAAUCUAAUCAAACAGAACCGCAAAGUCAUUUUGCCGAUUAUAUUUCCUGCGCUGGAGAGAAAUUCAAGAAACCACUGGAACCAGGCUGUACAAAACUUGACACAAAAUGUCCGAAAGAUAUUCUCCGAUGUUGACCCUGAGCUGUUUGAGGAGUGUUUGAUCAAAUUUCAAGAAGAGGAGACACAAGAGAAGGAUAUGAAAUCUAAGCGUGAGGCAAAAUGGAAACGCUUAGAAGAGAUAGCUGCCAUGAAAUCUGCA
rnacentral:misc_RNA from 1 species